GCCCCCGUAGCUCAGUUGGUAGAGCAGGCGCCUCUUAAGCGCAAGGUCGCAGGUUCGAGUCCUGCCGGGGGCA
rnacentral:tRNA from 1 species